UGGGGAAUCUUGCACAAUGGAGGAAACUCUGAUGCAGCGACGCCGCGUGAGCGAAGAAGCCUUUCGGGGUGUAAAGCUCUUACGCCAGGGACGAUAAUGACGGUACCUGGAGAAGCAGCUGCGGCUAACUACGUGCCAGCAGCCGCGGUAAUACGUAGGCAGCAAGCGUUGUUCGGAAUUACUGGGCGUAAAGGGUGCGUAGGCGGCGCUCUAAGUUUGGUGUGAAAUCUCCCGGCUUAACUGGGAGGGUGCACUGAAAACUGGGGCGCUCGAGUAUGGGAGAGGAAAGCGGAAGUCCUGGUGUAGCGGUGAAAUGCGUAGAGACCAGGAGGAACACCUGCGGUGCAGACGGCUUUCUGGACCAUCACUGACGCUGAGGCACGAAAGCGUGGGUAGCAAACA
rnacentral:rRNA from 1 species